AUGGAGAUGCUGCGGCGGAACCUCAAGCGCCAGACCUCGCGCGCGCGGUCCCUCUCCCCGCUCUCCGUCGCCUCCCCCGCCGACGACCAGGAGAACCUCCACCCCAACCUCGCCGCCGCCCCGCCCUCCCCGCCGCCGCCGGGCCUGUCCAAGCCCGUCCCCGUUCCCCAGCCGGCGGCCGCGCCCGCCCAGCAGCGGCCGGUCAACGACGAGCCCGCCGUCAAGGUCGUGGUGCGGGUGCGGCCGGCGGUCAGCCUGCCGGUGGACGGCAAGGACCUCUUCUUCGUGCGCAAGACCUCCCCAGACUCCAUCGCCGUCGGCGACCGCGCCUUCGCCGUCGACGGGUUCCUCGACGACAGGGCUUCCCAGGAGGAUGCGUUCCAUCUGGUGGGUGUGCCCAUGAUCCACAGCGCCCUCGCCGGAUUCAACACCUCCCUCGUCUGCUAUGGCCAGAGUGGCACAGGGAAGACAUACACCAUGUGGGGGCCCCUCGCCGCCAUGUUCGACAACCGCUCCGACCGGGCCGACCGGGGGAUCGUGCCUCGCUUCUUCCAGAACCUCUUCUCCCAAAUCCAAGGCAACGAAGAGAGCUCCCCUGAGAAGCACACAAGUUACCAGUGCCGCUGCACCUUUCUGGAGGUAUUUAAUGAGCAGAUCAAUGACCUGCUUGAUCCAUCUCAACGUAAUCUUCAGAUAAGAGAGACCACUGGCAAUGGUGUCCAUGUCGAAAACUUGACCGAGGAGUAUGUAUCGACAGUCGAGGAUGUAAAUCAGAUCUUGAUGAAGGGCCUGACAAAAAGAAAAAUUGGCGUUGAUAGUAUGAACUUGAAAAAUUCACGUUCUCACGUGAUAUUCACUUGUGUCAUUGAAGCUUGGAGCAAGGAUUUGUCAUCAAAUGGCUUUAGUAGUUCAAAAACUAGCAAAAUUACCUUUGUUGAUCUAGCUGGUGUUGAUAUUGAUGAAAGUGAUGGCGCUGGCAAGAACAUUACACGAGAGGAAAGAUACGUUAAGAAGUCUCUCUCAAGCCUCGGGAAACUAGUCAAUAUUCUUUCAGAAGAACCAAAGCCCCAGGAAGAUGAAUUGCCAUACAGCCAGUCCCGUUUGACACAUGUGCUGAAGGAUACGCUAGGCGGCAAUUCAAGGGCUACAUUUUUGUGUUCCAUUUCUUCAGAGCACAGAUGCAGGUCUGAGACUUUAAGCACGCUAAGGUUUGGUGAGCGAACAAAGCUCAUGCCGAACAAAGCUGUGGUAAAUGAGAUAUCAGAAGAUGAUGUUAAUGGUCUGAGUGAUCAGAUCCGUCAGCUGAAGGAUGAACUUGUAAGAACCAAGUCUGGAGAGCACGCAACAUCUGAGACUGGAUACUUCAAUGCACAAAUUGCUCGAGCGAGCUUGCACAGUUUGCGUGUGAGCCUCAAUCGCUCUAUAAUUUUGCCCCAUAUUGAAGUUGAGACAGAUGAUGAAAUGGAUGUGGAUGAAGAUGAUGUGCAUGAACUGCGUGAUCAGAUUAGCAAGAUUCAUUCUUCAUCUGAAGACACUCUUGAUGACUUCAUGGAUGCAGAGAGUGGAGAGGACAGUCCAAUACCAUGGGAACAUGAUGAUCAGGUUGUCAUAGAUGACAGUGAAGGCCCACUUCAGGAAGAGCCCCAGAAAAUGCACAGCAAUACAAAUGCUGAUCAUGACCAGGUUUCUGACAGGAAAUCUGUUCUAUCAAUUAGUGCUUCCGAACAGCUGAGCCCAAUCCAAGACGCGACGUUCUGCUCUUCUCCAAAGAUCCACAAGGCAAGAAGGAGCAUUGCGUCGCCAGGGUUCUCUCCGAGCAAGCUUGGUGAAUCCAGCCCAGGAGAAGCCGAUUUGGAAACGUAUAGGAAGAGUGCAGUGCGUUCCUCCUUACAAUCGAGCAAGCUUAGUCCCACUGACUCGCUGGCCGCAAGUCUCCAACGGGGCCUGCACAUUAUAGAGUAUCAUCAGCAGAAUCCUCCAGCACCACGAAAAUCGUUUGUUGGCCUUUCAUUUGACCAUUUUGCACUGAACCCCCGCCAGUCAGCAAAAGCAAGUUCAGCCCUUGAGGCUUUACCGGAGGGGGACGCCAGUUCGGCUUCUACCAUUUGCUCAUCCUGCAAGAAAGCAAUGGAUACAAAUGAGGACCAUUCAGAGGACAUCAACUCAGAGAAGCAGAUUGUAACGGCGACUGCUGUCACAUCCAAUGACUUGGCUAAUGCUUCCCUCCAGGACGGUGAUAUCUCUUCGACUACUGGCUCUAAGAGAGUGGCUGAGCUUGAAGCUUUAUGUGAAGAACAGGGAGCUAAGAUCAAGGAGUUGAGCAACUUGAUUGGGCAACAAAAGAAGGGACCAGAAGAUGUUAUGCCUAUGAGGGAACUAACUGCUGAACAAUGUGAGGAUAGCAAAAUGCCACUCGAUGUGAAUGAGAGGGAAGCACUUGAAGGCGAGAUCCAGAGGCUGAAGGACCAAGUAAAGCUUCUCACGGACGGAUCAACAGCAAACGACAGCCUUCUGGAUCAGAUAAGGAACGGCAGCACGGACCAGGAGUACGGGCUGGAGAAAGAGCGGCAGAAAUGGACGGAGUCCGAGAGCAAAUGGAUAUCUCUCACCGAGGAGCUGAGGGUGGACCUGGAGUCGAGCCGGAGGCACGCGGAGAAGACGGAGGCGGAGCUCCGGGACGAGAAGAAGUGCACGGAGGAGCUGGACGACGCCCUCCAGCGGGCCAUCUACGGCCACGCCAGGAUCAUCGAGCACUACGUGGAGCUCCAGGAGCUGUACAACGACCUCCUCGAGCGGCACCGCGGCGUCAUGGGGGGCAUCGCGGAGGUGAAGAGGGCGGCCGCCAGGGCCGGCAAGAAGGGCUGCGGCACGGCCUUCGCCGCCGCCCUCGCCGCGGAGCUGUCGACGGUGAGGAUCGACCGGGAGAAGGAGCGGGCGCAGCUCAGGGAGCAGAACAGGAGGCUCCGCGUCCAGCUCCGGGACACCGCGGAGGCGGUGCAUGCCGCCGGCGAGCUGCUCGUGAGGCUCAGGGAAGCCGAGGAGGCAUCCACGCAAGAGAAGGAGAGGAGUUCCGCCAUGCUGCAGGAGAACCAGAAGCUGAAGAAGCAGGUGGAGAAGAUGAGGAAGAAGCACGAGGUGGAGAUCGAGACGAUGAAGCACUACCUGGCGGAGAGCCGGCUGCCGGAGUCGGCCCUGGAGGGGUUCUACCGCAGCGAGGAUGCGCCCAGGGAGUCGUCCACUGUCCAAGACGACGAUCAGUCCUGGCGUUCUGCGUUUAAGUCUGAAUUCGAAUGA
rnacentral:rRNA from 1 species